rnacentral:lncRNA from 1 species
CAGGCAUAGCCAUCAGCAUCUAUCUACCUUAAGUUUACUCAGAAGUACUUUGAGUUGGGAUUUAUGCUAAAUGUUCAGAUUUUAAAGAGACGAUUUAAAUUGUUCUAUUCUUUGAGUCUCUCUCUGUCUCUUCAGGUUUACCUAGAAAGUAUUCUUGACCCAGCUGGACAAAGAAACAUUGUAUAUACGCUUCUUACCAUUAAACUGCAACUACUGGAUUUUGAGAGUUUUGGUAGGUGAGACACUUGAUUGGUUAUUCGGCAUUUACAUAUAAUAUGUAAUUGGCUUGAAUCAGAAUGAGAGUGAUAAAGGAACAGAUUCUGCAGCAAACAUGUUUUGCUCACAGCGAAAAAGGUUGACACAGCGGAAGAAUGGAACUCAGCCAUCCUUCUGAUCAGAUGGUCCUUCUUUUUGAACCUGGGGGUCAGUUGUAAGGCACCCAAAGCUAAGACAAUUAACUGAACACUAUCUGUCUCAGGUUCAGCACAUGUGCCUGUUACUGUGAGAUUUAUUUAGAAAAGAUACGUACAUACAAUAGUGAAGACAUGGAAGUAACCUAAAUGUCCAUCCACAGAGGAAUGGAUUAAGAAGAUGUGGUAUAUGUGGAAUAGUACUCAGCCAUAAAAAAGAAUGAAAUCAUGCCAUUUGCAGCAACAUGAAUGGACCGAGAGAUUAUCACACUAAGUCAGAGAAAGGCAAAUGUCAUAUGAUAUCCCUUCUAUGUGAAAUCUAAACUGUGAUAUGAGGGAACUUAGUUACAAAACAGAAAAAGACUCAUAGAUACAGAGAAAAAAUUUAUGGUUACCAAAGGGGGAAGGUGGGGGGGACGGAUAAGUUAGGAGUAUGGAAUGAACAUGUCCCAUUACUUUCUAUAAAAUAGAUCAUCAGCAAGGGCCUACUUGUGUAGCACAAGGAAGUCUACUCGACAUUUUGUAAUAACCUAUACAGGAAAAGAAUCUGAAAAAGAAUGGAUACAUGUAUAACUGAAUCCCUUUGCUGUACACCUGAAAGAAACAUAACCUUGUAAGUCAUCUAUAUUUCAAUAAAAUAAAAACAAAAUAAGGGAACCAAAGACACCUAAAGCACUAUCCUGGCAUGUCAUAGAUACCUGGAACAUCGGUCUGUUGAAGCAAGUAGCAUGAAUCCACUAAAACCGGAAUCUCAUCAAUGGUGUGGUACCCAUGGUUACAUGUUUGACCAAAGAACCAGGGUUGUGGCAUGAUAUGAAUGUUUGGGGGAGCUGAGUGAGGCUUAAAUAUGGGAACUCUUUGUGCUCUCACAGUACAUGUUCUGAAAAUCUAAAAAGAAUUCCAAACGUAAAUGUUGAUUUAAAAAACAGACGUGUGGUUCCCAAGGGGGAGGGAAGGGAAUGGGGUGCUUGGGGAGCUUGGGGUUCAUAGAUACCAACUGCUGCCUUUGGAAUGAUUAGCAAGGAGAUCCUGCUGUAUCACACUGGGAACUAUGUCUAGUCCCUUAUGAUGGAGCAUGAUUAUGUGCAAAAAUAGAAUGUGUACAUGUAUGUGUAACUGGGUCACCAUGCUAUACCAUAGGGGGGAAAAAAUGUAUUGGGGAGGUAACUAUUAAAAAGCAACAAAUGACAUGAAAAUGCUUACAAAAAAUAAAUAAAUAAAAAAUGGACGUUAGCCUGGAUUAUGAGGAACUCGUGGACCUGAGUUCAAAUGUGCCUGCCCUUCUCCAGUGAUGGGUCUAAUCCUUGCUGGCAGAGAUGACUCUUGGAUGCACAUAACUGUGGCUCCACCCACAUCGAAGGUAUGUGAUGAAGUCAGUAACUGCAGGGGGCUAAAGGCAUUCUGCUCCAAAAGUUGGGCACUGUUACUGUGCUAAGACCCGGAGAAAACCUCCUGAGGAUAAAUUUAGCCUCAAGUCCUGUCUCAUGUACUGUUACUGUCUUUAUACCAGCUUCACGAAGAGAAGAACUCAGUUACGGCAGGGGUCAUUCAAGUCUGAUUAAUUACAUAUUUAUAUCAUGUAUAAAUAAUACGAUUAAUUAUGUUAAAAUGUUUAAGGAGGAAAUAGGCAGAAGGAAAUAAUUUCCGGACGUGCAGUUUUGACAUAAUUGUGUCAGAUUUCCAUUUGCUGGGUGAAUCCAGGCUUUUCCUGGGAGGCAGGUAGCCAAGGAGAAUAUUCAGUCCAAAAAAGAAUCAAAGAAUUUGGCCUCAAUAGGACAGCCUACUUAGUAAAGUAUUUUUAGCAUGCUGUGGAUUGAGAACUGAAAGAAAUGGCUCUGAUCACAUUACAUAAGGAAUUAACACAUCUGCCCUAAAAUGGAUAUUGUGUCUUUGGCACAACUGUUCUCUUUUGGACCCAUGUGUCAUUUUUGGGUCCGUCAGUGAUGCCUUCAUAUGUCACAGAAAAGAGCGAGCAUCCUUGGCGAUGAAAAUGCUUUUGACACUGACUUGAUAUAAAAUGUAUGUGAGAAUGAGCUUUUGCCAUCUCAUCGUUGAAGUUAUUUAAAACAGGCUAUUGAACAUGGAUGGUCCCAAUGGACGUGUCUGAUAACUUCAAGUUUAUACAUUUACCCACUUAAUUUGCAAAUGUUAUUUGGGACCUCCGUUUGGUGGCCACCCAUGUGACAGGUGAUAGAUAAGAGGAUGAAGUUAUCUUCAAAGCAAUGCAGACGAGUAAGAACCAAGGAGAGUGAGUUCAAGUGUUCUUUCUGGCUGCCAGUUCUGAUAGCAGCUACUUAAUUGGACUGGUGAAUAUAAUUAUCCUCAGUGGAAAACUGAGAUCAAUAGUAUUAUUCCUAUCGAAGCUUCUAUCUGAGCUGUUUCCUCGUAAGAGCUGUUGAUAAGAUCAAACAGCAUGAGAGGAACUUUGCUUGUACAUCACUGCUAUCUCAUCCUGUUGACAUAGACACACAUAUGAAGGAGUCUCAUGGAGAAUCAGGAAUAAUACCAUGGUAGCUAUUUUAUAAGACCCCAUUUAAGAAUUUUAAUGAUCAAAAAGUCUCCAAGAGGUCUAGAUAGUUUUUUUAAAGUGUUGAUUUUUACCAUUUAGAAUGAAUUCUUUUGUUCCCAUUUUUUUAAAAUGGGAGGCACUCCCUUGUGGGGCAGCAGGUUAAGGAUCCUGUGUUGUCACUGCAGCAGCUGGGCACAGGUUUGAUCCCUGGACUGGGAAUUUCCACAGGCCACAGGUGUGGCCAAAAGAAUGUAGUUUAAAAAAAAUUUUAUAGGAGUUCCGGUCGGCUCAGGGGUUAACAAAUCCUACUAGGAGCCGUGAGGCUAUGGGUUCGAUCCCUGGCCUUGCUCAGUGGGUUAAGGAUCGGGCAUUGCCAUGAGCUGUGGUGUCCAUCGCCAAUGCGGCUCAGAUCCCUAGUUGCUGUGGCUGUGGUGUAAGCCUAUGGCUAUAGCUCCCAUUAGACCCCGAGCCUGGGAACCUCCAUAUGCCC